UACGAAGGGGGCUAGCGUUGCUCGGAAUCACUGGGCGUAAAGCGCACGUAGGCGGACUCUUAAGUCGGGGGGUGAAAUCCCUGGAGCUCAACUCCAGAACUGCCUUCGAUACUGGGAGUCUUGAAGUUCGGGGAGAGGUGAGUGGAACUGCGAGUGUAGAGGUGAAAUUCGUAGAUAUCGAAGGUGGGAACACCAGUGGG
rnacentral:rRNA from 1 species